GAUGAACGCUGGCGGCGUGCCUAAUACAUGCAAGUCGAGCGAACGGACGAGAAGCUUGCUUCUCUGAUGUUAGCGGCGGACGGGUGAGUAACACGUGGAUAACCUACCUAUAAGACUGGGAUAACUUCGGGAAACCGGAGCUAAUACCGGAUAAUAUUUUGAACCGCAUGGUUCAAAAGUGAAAGACGGUCUUGCUGUCAUUUAUAGAUGGAUCCGCGCUGCAUUAGCUAGUUGGUAAGGUAACGGCUUACCAAGGCAACGAUGCAUAGCCGACCUGAGAGGGUGAUCGGCCACACUGGAACUGAGACACGGUCCAGACUCCUACGGGAGGCAGCAGUAGGGAAUCUUCCGCAAUGGGCGAAAGCCUGACGGAGCAACGCCGCGUGAGUGAUGAAGGUCUUCGGAUCGUAAAACUCUGUUAUUAGGGAAGAACAUAUGUGUAAGUAACUGUGAACAUCUUGACGGUACCUAAUCAGAAAGCCACGGCUAACUACGUG
rnacentral:rRNA from 1 species